AUUGAACGCUGGCGGCGUGCUUAACACAUGCAAGUCGUGCGGUAACAGGCGUAGCAAUACGUGCUGACGAGCGGCGAACGGGUGCGUAAUACAUGGGAAUCUGCCUUUUAGUGGGGAAUAACCCGGCGAAAGCCGGGCUAAUGCCGCAUAAGAUCUUCGGAUGAAAGCGGGGGAUCGUAAGACCUCGCGCUGAUAGAUGAGCCCAUGCCGGAUUAGCUAGUUGGUGAGGUAACGGCUCACCAAGGCGACGAUCCGUAGCUGGUCUGAGAGGACGGCCAGCCACACUGGGACUGAGACACGGCCCAGACUCCUACGGGAGGCAGCGAGUGGGGAAUAUUGGACAAUGGGCGAAAGCCUGAUCCAGCCAUGCCGCGUGGGUGAA
rnacentral:rRNA from 1 species